rnacentral:tRNA from 2 species
GUCGGAGUGGCGGAAUUGGCAGACGCGCCAGACUAAGGAUCUGGUGCCCUUAGGGGCGUGGGGGUUCAAGUCCCCCCUCCGACACCA